CGGUUGGGCACUCUAGAGGGGACUGCCGGCGACAAGUCGGAGGAAGUGGGGAUGACGUCAAAUCAUCAUGCCCCUUAUGACCUGGGCUACACACGUGCUACAAUGGGCGGUACAAAGGGCUGCGAACCCGCGAGGGGGAGCGAAUCCCAAAAAGCCGCUCUCAGUUCGGAUUGCAGGCUGCAACUCGCCUGCAUGAAGCCGGAAUCGCUAGUAAUCGCGGAUCCAGCAUGCCGCGGUCGAAUACGUUCCCGGGCCUU
rnacentral:rRNA from 1 species